rnacentral:tRNA from 1 species
GUGGCCGUGGGGGCCGCGACGGCCUGCGCGCCGUCCGAGGGCGCGGUCGUCGCGCCGUCCCAGGCGGCGGCGGUCGCCCC